GAUGAACGCUGGCGGCGUGCUUAACACAUGCAAGUCGAACGGGAAUUACUUUAUUGAAACUUCGGUCGAUAUGAUUUAAUUCUAGUGGCGGACGGGUGAGUAACGCGUGGGUAACCUGCCUUAUACAGGGGGAUAACAGUCAGAAAUGACUGCUAAUACCGCAUAAGCGCACAGAGCUGCAUGGCUCGGUGUGAAAAACUCCGGUGGUAUAAGAUGGACCCGCGUUGGAUUAGCUAGUUGGUGAGGUAACGGCCCACCAAGGCGACGAUCCAUAGCCGGCCUGAGAGGGUGAACGGCCACAUUGGGACUGAGACACGGCCCAGACUCCUACGGGAGGCAGCAGUGGGGAAUAUUGCACAAUGGGGGAAACCCUGAUGCAGCGACGCCGCGUGAAGGAAGAAGUAUCUCGGUAUGUAAACUUCUAUCAGCAGGGAAGAAAAUGACGGUACCUGACUAAGAAGCCCCGGCUAACUACGUGCCAGCAGCCGCGGUAAUACGUAGGGGGCAAGCGUUAUCCGGAUUUACUGGGUGUAAAGGGAGCGUAGACGGAUGGACAAGUCUGAUGUGAAAGGCUGGGGCUCAACCCCGGGACUGCAUUGGAAACUGCCCGUCUUGAGUGCCGGAGAGGUAAGCGGAAUUCCUAGUGUAGCGGUGAAAUGCGUAGAUAUUAGGAGGAGCACCAGUGGCGAAGGCGGCUUACUGGACGG
rnacentral:rRNA from 1 species